GAUGAACGCUGGCGGCGUGCCUAAUACAUGCAAGUCGAGCGAACAGACGAUGAGCUUGCUCCUCUGACGUGAGCGGCGGACGGGUGAGUAACACGUGGAUAACCUACCUAUAAUACUGAGAUAACUUCGGGAAACCGGAGCUAAUACCGGAUAAUAUAUUGAACCGCAUUGUUCAAUAGUGAAAUACGGUUUUGCUGUCACGUAUAGAUGGAUCCGCGCUGCAUGAGCUGGUUGGUAAGGUAACGGCUUACCAAGGCAACGAGGCGUAGCCGACCUCAGAGGGUGAUAGGCCACCUUGGAGCGGGGACACGGUCAAGACUCCUACGGGAGGCAGCAGUAGGGAAUCGUCCGCAACGGGCGAAAGUAUGACGGAACAACGCGGCGUGAGUGAUGAAGGUCUUCGGAUCGUAAAACUCUGUUAUUAGGGAAGAACAAAUGUGUAAGUAACUAUGGACGUCUUGACGGUAACUAAUCAGAAAGCAACGGCUAACUACGUG
rnacentral:rRNA from 1 species